rnacentral:rRNA from 1 species
UGGGGAAUAUUGCACAAUGGGCGAAAGCCUGAUGCAGCGACGCCGCGUGAGGGAUGACGGCCUUCGGGUUGUAAACCUCUUUCAGCAGGGAAGAAGCGAAAGUGACGGUACCUGCAGAAGAAGCACCGGCUAACUACGUGCCAGCAGCCGCGGUAAUACGUAGGGUGCGAGCGUUGUCCGGAAUUAUUGGGCGUAAAGAGCUCGUAGGUGGCCUGUCGCGUCGGCUGUGAAAACUCGGGGCUCAACUCCGAGCUUGCAGUCGAUACGGGCAGGCUGGAGUGCGGCAGGGGAGACUGGAAUUCCUGGUGUAGCGGUGAAAUGCGCGAUAUC